rnacentral:rRNA from 1 species
GGAAUAAUCUCGGGAAACUGAGGCUAAUACCCCAUAGGCCAAGAGCGCUGGAAUGCCUUUUGGCUGAAAUCUCCGGAGGCUUAGGAUGGCACUGCGACCUAUCAGGUUGUAGGGAGGGUAACGGCCUCCCUAGCCUACAACGGGUACGGGCGUUGAGAGACGUCGCCCGGAGAUGAAAUCUGAGACACGAUUUCAGGCCCUACGGGGCGCAGCAGGCGCGAAAACUGCACAAUGCUGGAAACAGCGAUGCGGGGACUCCAAGUGCCGGCGCUGAGUGUCGGCUGUUCCAUUGUCUAAAAAACAUAGGAAGUAAGGGCUGGGUAAGGCGGGUGCCAGCCGCCGCGGUAAUACCUGCAGCCCGAGUGGUGGCCGUUAUUAUUGGGCCUAAAACGUCCGUAGCCGGUUGGGUAGAUGCCUGUGUAAAUCGAACGGCUUAACCGUUCGAAUUGCGGGUAGACCGCCCGACUUGGGACCGGGAGAGUCACGAAGUACUCCGGGGGUAGAGGUGAAAUUCUGUAAUCCUCGGGGGACUACCGGUGGCGAAGGCGUCGUGAUAGAACGGCUCCGACGGUGAGGGACGAAGCCCUGGGGCGCAAACCGGAUUAGAUACCCGGGUAGUCCAGGGUGUAAACGCUGUGGUCUUGGUGUCGGGAGUCCUACGGGGGCACCCGGUGCCGGAGAGAAGUUGUUAAGACCACUGCCUGGGGAGUACGGCCGCAAGGUUGAAACUUAAAGGAAUUGGCGGGGGAGCAC